rnacentral:rRNA from 1 species
GGUUAAGCGACUAAGCGUACACGGUGGAUGCCCCGGCAGUCAGAGGCGAUGAAGGACGUGCUAAUCUGCGAAAAGCGCCGGCGAGGUGAUAUGAACCUUUGACCCGGCGAUGUCCGAAUGGGGAAACCCAGUGCAAUUCGUUGCACUAUCGUUAACUGAAUACAUAGGUUAACGAGGCGAACCGGGGAACUGAAACAUCUAAGUACCCCGAGGAAAAGAAAUCAACCGAGAUUCCCCAGUAGCGGCGAGCGAACGGGGAGCAGCCCGGAGUCUGAAUCAGCUUGUGUGUUAGUGGAACGGUCUGGAAAGUCCGACGGUACAGGGUGAUAGUCCCGUACACGAAAGCACACAUGCUGUGAACUCGAAGAGUAGGGCGGGACACGUGGUAUCCUGUCUGAAUAUGGGGGACCAUCCUCCAAGGCUAAAUACUCCUGACUGACCGAUAGUGAACCAGUACCGUGAGGGAAAGGCGAAAAGAACCCCGGCGAGGGGAGUGAAAAAGAACCUGAAACCGUGUACGUACAAGCAGUGGGAGCCUCUUUAUGGGGUGACUGCGUACCUUUUGUAUAAUGGGUCAGCGACUUAUAUUCUGUAGCAAGGUUAACCGUAUAGGGGAGCCGAAGGGAAACCGAGUCUUAACUGGGCGUUAAGUUGCAGGGUAUAGACCCGAAACCCGGUGAUCUAGCCAUGGGCAGGUUGAAGGUUGGGUAACACUAACUGGAGGACCGAACCGACUAAUGUUGAAAAAUUAGCGGAUGACCUGUGGCUGGGGUGAAAGGCCAAUCAAACCGGGAGAUAGCUGGUUCUCCCCGAAAGCUAUUUAGGUAGCGCCUCGUGAAUUCAUCUUCGGGGGUAGAGCACUGUUUCGGCUAGGGGCCAUCCCGGCUUACCAACCCGAUGCAAACUACGAAUACCGAAGAAUGUUAUCACGGGAGACACACGGCGGGUGCUAACGUCCGUCGUGAAGAGGGAAACAACCCAGACCGCCAGCUAAGGUCCCAAAGUCAUGGUUAAGUGGGAAACGAUGUGGGAAGGCACAGACAGCCGGGAUGUUGGCUUAGAAGCAGCCAUCAUUUAAAGAAAGCGUAAUAGCUCACUGGUCGAGUCGGCCUGCGCGGAAGAUGUAACGGGGCUAAACCAUGCACCGAAGCUGCGGCAGCGACGCUUAUGCGUUGUUGGGUAGGGGAGCGUUCUGUAAGCCGUUGAAGGUGGCCUGUGAGGGUUGCUGGAGGUAUCAGAAGUGCGAAUGCUGACAUAAGUAACGAUAAAGCGGGUGAAAAGCCCGCUCGCCGGAAGACCAAGGGUUCCUGUCCAACGUUAAUCGGGGCAGGGUGAGUCGACCCCUAAGGCGAGGCCGAAAGGCGUAGUCGAUGGGAAACAGGUUAAUAUUCCUGUACUUGGUGUUACUGCGAAGGGGGACGGAGAAGGCUAUGUCAGCCGGGCGACGGUUGUCCCGGUUUAAGCAUGUAGGCGGAGGUUCGGGUAAAUCCGGUACCUUGUUAACGCUGAGGUGUGAUGACGAGGCACUACGGUGCUGAAGUGAUAAAUGCCCUGCUUCGGGGAAAAGCCUCUAAGCAUCAGGUAACACGAAAUCGUACCCCAAACCGACACAGGUGGUCAGGUAGAGAAUACCAAGGCGCUUGAGAGAACUCGGGUGAAGGAACUAGGCAAAAUGGUGCCGUAACUUCGGGAGAAGGCACGCUGAUAUGUAGGUGAAGCCCCUGCGGGCGGAGCUGAAAUCAGUCGAAGAUACCAGCUGGCUGCAACUGUUUAUUAAAAACACAGCACUGUGCAAACACGAAAGUGGACGUAUACGGUGUGACGCCUGCCCGGUGCCGGAAGGUUAAUUGAUGGGGUUAGCGGCAACGCGAAGCUCUUGAUCGAAGCCCCGGUAAACGGCGGCCGUAACUAUAACGGUCCUAAGGUAGCGAAAUUCCUUGUCGGGUAAGUUCCGACCUGCACGAAUGGCGUAAUGAUGGCCAGGCUGUCUCCACCCGAGACUCAGUGAAAUUGAACUCGCUGUGAAGAUGCAGUGUACCCGCGGCAAGACGGAAAGACCCCGUGAACCUUUACUAUAGCUUGACACUGAACACUGGUCCUUGAUGUGUAGGAUAGGUGGGAGGCUUUGAAGCGUGGACGCCAGUCUGCGUGGAGCCGACCUUGAAAUACCACCCUUUAAUGGCUGGUGUUCUAACGUAGACCCGUAAUCCGGGUUGCGGACAGUGUCUGGUGGGUAGUUUGACUGGGGCGGUCUCCUCCCAAAGAGUAACGGAGGAGCACGAAGGUUGGCUAAUCUGGUCGGACAUCAGGAGGUUAGUGCAAUGGCAUAAGCCAGCUUGACUGCGAGCGUGACGGCGCGAGCAGGUGCGAAAGCAGGUCAUAGUGAUCCGGUGGUUCUGAAUGGAAGGGCCAUCGCUCAACGGAUAAAAGGUACUCCGGGGAUAACAGGCUGAUACCGCCCAAGAGUUCAUAUCGACGGCGGUGUUUGGCACCUCGAUGUCGGCUCAUCACAUCACGGGGCUGAAGUAGGUCCCAAGGGUAUGGCUGUUCGCCAUUUAAAGUGGUACGCGAGCUGGGUUUAGAACGUCGUGAGACAGUUCGGUCCCUAUCUGCCGUGGGCGCUGGAGAAUUGAGGGGGCUGCUCCUAGUACGAGAGGACCGGAGUGGACGCAUCACUGGUGUUCGGGUUGUCAUGCCAAUGGCACUGCCCGGUAGCUAAAUGCGGAAGAGAUAAGUGCUGAAAGCAUCUAAGCACGAAACUUGCCCCGAGAUGAGUUCUCCCUGAGACUUUAAGUCUCCUGAAGGAACGUUGAAGACGACGACGUUGAUAGGUCGGGUGUGUAAGCGCAGCGAUGCGUUGAGCUAACCGAUACUAAUGAACCGUGAGGCUUAACCUU